CGCGGGGUGGAGCAGUUGGUAGCUCGUCAGGCUCAUAAUCUGAAGGUCAUAGGUUCGAACCCUAUCCCCGCAACCA
rnacentral:tRNA from 1 species